rnacentral:misc_RNA from 1 species
AAAUUGCGAUAACUAAUGUGAAUUGCAUUGCUUGUGAAUCAUUGAGUAUUCGAACGCAGCUUGCACUCUGGCCAUUACAGCCAGAGUAUACCUGUUUGAGCGUUGGUAAGACCCAUAAAAUUGCACCUGGUGUGAUUUUGUAGUGGGCCUGUACUCUGUACUUGUGUGUGUAACGCGCGCGAGCAGGAGAGGCCUUAAAUGGAGUUCAAGGUGUGCGGGUGGAAUGAAAGGUGAAUUCUCUGUAAAAGGAGGGGCCCUUUACACCCAACACUAACAACCAAACAACAACAACCUCAAAUCAGGUAGGACUACCCGCUGAACUUAA